AAAGGGUAAUUGUGCCAAGUCUGCUGCUGUUAUACUCAUCACUGUGAGGGAAAGACGGGGAGAAGAUAAGAAGUCCAACGUCUAAAAUGUCCCAAUGUCAACACAAUACACCAGUGGUUACAAUCAGAGGUGUGAUGUAGAUACAACGUUUCAGUCCUACAUCUCGGACCUUCUUCAGUAACAGCCAAAACCACCGCUGGGAAAUCAGCCAAGUCCUACAGCAGCAGACACGGUUCAUAUGUGUAUGGUGACUAUAGCCAGGGUCAGGGAAAGCUGGGUGACUGCUGCCCUCCAAGGCUGCCAUACUGAUUGCUGCCACCCAGCUUUUCCAGAAGGAGGUUUUCCGCCUCAUGACGUCCAUGACGAGGUCUCGUGUGACGGGGCAGAGGCUGCUAAUUGAGCAAAUUAUUACAGAAGACAUGUCAGGACAGAGAUACGUAUGGAAAAUACAGAUGGAAAAAGUGGCGGACUCCGGAGAGAGAAGAGAAAUCCACAGAGUGAUGAUCGUCAGCGGAAUAAAUAACAGCGCGGAAAAUUUCUGUCUUUUCUGUUUCUGGAGAAUUUGAGCGAUUCCAGAACGCGGGAUCAUAAACCGAGGUCUGGGAUUCACUGGGAUUAAAGGAACAGACCAAUUGGACGGAAUACCUGGAGACAGGAGGACGGACGGACAGACGCCUCCACGCAAUGACUUCAUUAUCACAGGGGGCUCUUGGCCUCAUGUUUUAUAUAUUCUGCAAACUUAAAGGGCCACUCCACCUUUCAUUAACAUUGGCUCUGUAGUCAGCAAACGUAAAUUCCAGCAAGUUUAUAAUAUAUAUUAGCUAUUUUUUGCCAUCUUCAUUUAUUUGUUUAGGCUUUAUUUCUUAGAAAACCGUCAGCAAGCAGCUGUUGAUGGAUCUGAUGUUCCUAUA